UCCCACCAGUUGUUUCGCCAGGGUCCUAUCUAGUCACCAGGUUGCUGGAUGAGCGUCCCCCGGUGCCAUUAUAUGGUGGACUGUGAGCAGUGUGAGUUUGGGUUAUCGGGGCAACCAGAUGCUGCCAGGGGUUGUUGAAACUUUCUGGGUUUAGGGCAGUUGCAUGAGACUCUUAAGUGACCAAGGUAUCUCUACUUGCUGUUGUCUUCCUCUUGCAGCCAGAUGCGAGUGCCUCAGCUGGUGUAAAUUGGUGCAAUGCCACUAGUACAUGCACAUCCCAUGUGUCCCCACUCAGAUUGAUGUGAAAGUAUGAGGCAGCAAAACUCAUCAGAGCUAAUUGGUUCAUGGUAUGUUUCCUUUCCUUGUGAUGAGAACAAAUUGCCUUUUCCAAGACUAAGCCUAUGUUAAUGAUUUUGAAAACCAUGUUUGAAGCAAGCUGCUUUUCUGAAGAAAGCCUGAAUAAUGGUUGCACCAACCCUACAUUCUUGUAGGUGUUGGCAAGCAACACUGCUGUAACUUUGGAAUAAAGCAGAGUAACCACCACGCUGUAGUCUGGGGAGUCAAAACUGAGAGAGAAAAAUGAAGUGUUGCUGAAGGAGCUGCAGUAAUCAGGAGAGGCUGGACAUGAGCAGCUUUCUCAAAUAAAUGGUCUCAGCUCUGCAGAAACACUUUCUGGUUGAGUCUUGUGUUGCAGAAGCAGUGGGAUGGCUUAUGGGAACUGUGGCUCAGGCUUUGACCCUGAAACUGCACGUCUGGAUGGUCCAGGGUCAUUUUACUUGGAGAUGGCUGUAUCCUGUGAGCUGCUUGUGAAAACAUGUUUCCCAGCCGCCUCCUAGGGAGAUGUGGGUUGCCUCAGACAGGACCCUCUCCAGCAUCUUUAGCUUAGCAGAAAAGCUUGGUGUGAGGCUGGAUGUGAAUAAUAAACUGCUCUUUUCUCAUAAAUAUACCCAUAAAUGUGUAAAUGUAUGUGUUAGUGGGAAGAUGAGGGAAGGUUAGCGCAGUGAGCACUGCUGGAGAGGUCUUACAGACUGUUGUUACCAAUUCCAGGCAUGCCUCAGUCUGGCAAAGUGACACUUCCUGUGCGCCUUGGGAAGGGAAAACUUUGAGACAGAGGAGGACAGUGCUGGACUAAGGUGGUAAGACCUGGAAAGAAGCAGCACUUGGGUAUCAUAACACAGCUCCUGUACUGAGAGGGCUACGUUAAAAAUACCUGUUUCAGAAAAAGCUUUCAGUAAGCAUUUAUUCUUAAGAGCUUGUCAGAUCAAGGCCAUAUGCAUAUGCAGAGGCUUUUUCUGAUCUAGGCAAGGAAAUAGAGGACAAGAACAGGUUUAUGGUGUGAGCUACUUAAACAUACGUUUUUGUCCUCAAGCUCUAAUUCCUGUGGCCGGAAAACAUUUUGUUGUUACACUUCUGGUCUUGUUUAGCAUAACUACUGUUUCAAUAUGUAGAAAGUUUAGUGCUCCAAUGUCCAAGCUCCCUUCUAACACUGGCAUGUGAGGAGACCUAACCUGUGCAAGUUGUGGAUUGUUCAUGCUUUGGGUUAUUGCAAAGCUUGGUUUAUACAGGCAGCCCAGGAGUCCCCACUGCCUUGAUAGUCACCUGUGCUUGCUGUUGAGUUGCUCUCAUUUGAAUCAGUUAAAAUCUUUCUACUUGUCUGUCUUAGCCUGAACUUUCUGCUGAACACAUAUCCUAUAGGAACAGGCACUUUUCCACCCUCAGGGUGAAGGUGGUUCUCAGUUAUGGAGCUCAGCUGCUUUGCACCAGUGAAGUGCCCAGAAUGCGCCCAGGUUGUGCUAUAACUGGUGGCCAGAUCCGGUGAGCAGAUGCUGCUCUGCCUGCCCUGGCUGGCUUCAGGAGGAAUUGUGUCUGAGGGCAGGAUUUUGGCUGUGAGCCUUGAGGUGAAGAGCUGGGCUACAGAUCUGGCCGCUUGCCUGAGUGGUUUCCAGGCAGACAUUGCAUUUUUAUUGUCUUGGAUAUUCUGCUUUGGAGGUCAGUUGAGAAAGCAGAAUGGGGCUGUCACUUGGCAGAGCAGAAAGGUGCAGGCAAAAUUGAAUGUGGUGAUAUGCUGUGUAUAAUGCUGUCAGGGCAGCACCUGAGGUAGCAUCUACCUGUGCUAACCCAGAGGUAACAGCAGGCUGUUUCUGCCAAGCUCUCUUUUGUUUCCCAGGCUGUACUGACCUUACUCUUGGCAGAUGGCCACUUUCCCUGCUCCAGCCCAACCACGCCACCCGUCACGGAGAGCAACGCAAUCAGGCAAAGAGAAAAAGUGACUUCACUUUUCUGGGAAAAGCUUGAAUUUCUCAUUGCCUGCCACAAGACCUCUGGCAACGACCUUAUCUACCCUCUCCAAGUUGAGAGCACAGAAUCACCCCCUGCACUUGGCUGGGUCGCUACAAGCCACUGCUGUGCACAGAAUGGCAAUUUUGGUUGCUGUGGUUGCUUUCCCUUGAGAUAUUUCCAUCCCUACUGCCUCCAGGAGCAAUGGUGAGGCAUGUAUAAUGGGGAAUUGACAGAGGCUGAUUUACAGGGAACUUUGGGGUGUCUGAUUUGUGCUUCAUUGCUCUGGUUUGGGCAGUGACAAGGUGCCAUAAAACCAUCAGGUAGUAUAUCAGUGUACACUUUAAAGAUUUCACUGGGUACACCUCCUUUAGUACCAAUGAAACAGCUACACUGA